rnacentral:rRNA from 1 species
UAGUUGGUGGGGUAAAGGCCUACCAAGGCGACGAUCAGUAGGGGGUCUGAGAGGAUGAUCCGCCACACUGGGACUGAGACACGGCCCAGACUCCUAUGGGAGGCAGCAGUGGGGAAUUUUGGACAAUGGGGGCAACCCUGAUCCAGCCAUUCCGCGUGAGUGAAGAAGGCCUUCGGGUUGUAAAGCUCUUUCAGCUGGAACGAAACGGUACGUCCUAAUACGGUGUGCUAAUGACGGUACCAGCAGAAGAAGCACCGGCUAACUACGUGCCAGCAGCCGCGGUAAUACGUAGGGCGCGAGCGUUAAUCGGAAUUACUGGGCGUAAAGCGUGCGCAGGCGGAUUGUUAAGCAAGAUGUGAAAUCCCCGGGCUUAACCUGGGAAUGGCAUUUUGAACUGGCAGUCUAGAGUGUGUCAGAGGGGGGUGGAAUUCCACGUGUAGCAGUGAAAUGCGUAGAGAUGUGGAGGAACACCAAUGGCGAAGGCAGCCCCCUGGGAUAACACUGACGCUCAUGUACGAAAGCGUGGGUAGCAAACAGGAUUAGAUACCCUGGUAGUCCACGCCCUAAACGAUGUCAACUGGUUGUUGGGGGAGUGAAAUCCCUUAGUAACGAAGCUAACGCGUGAAGUUGACCGCCUGGGGAGUACGGUCGCAAGAUUAAAACUCAAAGGAAUUGACGGGGACCCGCACAAGCGGUGGAUGAUGUGGAUUAAUUCGAUGCAACGCGAAAAACCUUACCUACCCUUGACAUGUCCAGAAUCCUGCAGAGAUGCGGGAGUGCCCGAAAGGGAAUUGGAACACAGGUGCUGCAUGGCUGUCGUCAGCUCGUGUCGUGAGAUGUUGGGUUAAGUCCCGCAACGAGCGCAACCCUUAUCAUUAGUUGCUACGCAAGGGCACUCUAAUGAGACUGCCGG